CGUGCCACCAUCGCUAGCAGAACUCCAUUAUACCUACUCCUCAAGAAGGUACCGUCGAUAGCUAUUCCUUUUCUCAAAUGUCAAAAAUAUUGAAUCCAAGAACCAUAAGAUACAAAAAAUUACUUGAACCUUCUAUUUUCAUCAACAUGUAAUGUUGUCUUACUUCCGAGAUUUAUGGACUCAAUCAUGUAAUGGUAGGCAUCCAGAACUGCAUACCCAUGCUCGUGUAUCCCUCUAACCAAGUCC
rnacentral:lncRNA from 1 species